rnacentral:rRNA from 1 species
UACGGAGGGUGCAAGCGUUAUCCGGAUUUACUGGGUUUAAAGGGUGCGCAGGCGGAUAUGUAAGUCAGUGGUGAAAUCUCUGGGCUUAACCCGGAAACUGCCGUUGAUACUAUAUAUCUUGAAUGCUGUGGAGGUAAGCAGAAUAUGUCAUGUAGCGGUGAAAUGCUUAGAUAUGUCAUAGAACACCGAUUGCGAAGGCAGCUAACGAAACUAUAACUGACGCCGAGGCACGAAAGUGCGGGGAUCAAACAGG